rnacentral:rRNA from 1 species
AUUGAACGCUGGCGGCAUGCCUUACACAUGCAAGUCGAACGGCAGCGGACCUUCGGGUGCCGGCGAGUGGCGAACGGGUGAGUAAUGCAUCGGAACGUACCUUUCAGUGGGGGAUAACGUAGCGAAAGUUACGCUAAUACCGCAUAUUCUGUGAGCAGGAAAGCAGGGGAUCGCAAGACCUUGCGCUGAUUGAGCGGCCGGUGUCAGAUUAGCUAGUUGGUGGGGUAAAGGCUCACCAAGGCGACGAUCUGUAGCGGGUCUGAGAGGAUGAUCCGCCACACUGGGACUGAGACACGGCCCAGACUACUACGAGAGGCAGCAGUGGGGAAUUUUGGACAAUGGGGGCAACCCUGAUCCAGCCAUGCCGCGUGAGUGAAGAAGGCCUUCGGGUUGUAAAGCUCUUUCGGCCGGGAAGAAAUCGCACGGGCUAAUACCCUGUGUGGAUGACGGUACCGGAAUAAGAAGCACCGGCUAACUACGUGCCAGCAGCCGCUGUAAGAC